rnacentral:rRNA from 1 species
ACAGAGGGUGCGAGCGUUAAUCGGAAUUACUGGGCGUAAAGCGCACGUAGGCGGCGAUUUAAGUCAGAGGUGAAAGCCCGGGGCUCAACCCCGGAAUAGCCUUUGAGAUUGGAUUGCUUGAACAUCGGAGAGGUGAGUGGAAUUCCGAGUGUAGAGGUGAAAUUCGUAGAUAUUCGGAAGAACACCAGUGGCGAAGGCGGCUCACUGGCCUGUAACUGACGCUGAGGCACGAAAGCGUGGGGAGCAAACAGAA